UGCUUUGUAGCAAUACGAAGUAUCCUAGUGGCGAACGGGUGAGUAACGCGUUGGUGACCUACCCCAAAGUGUGGGAUAACAGUCCGAAAGGAUUGCUAAUACCGCAUGUGGUUAUUGGAUCUAGAAACCGAUAACUAAAGGAGCAAUUCGCUUUGGGAGGGACCUGCGUCCCAUCAGCUAGUUGGUGAGGUAACGGCUCACCAAGGCGACGACGGGUAGGGGACCUGAGAGGGUGACCCCCCACAAUGGAACUGAAACACGGUCCAUACACCUACGGGUGGCAGCAGUAGGGAAUAUUGGUCAAUGGGCGAAAGCCUGAACCAGCAACGCCGCGUGUGCGAUGAAGGCCUUCGGG
rnacentral:rRNA from 1 species